UAAUGUCUAAACAUGUUUGAAUUAAAUGAUUAUCCCAAUUUCUAUCUGACAUUGUAUCUGCGGAUUAUUUCUCAAUUACUGAUUGUAAUCAAUGAUCUCAAAACAUAAUCCAAACCGUUUUUCUGGGAUAGAGAAGAAAAAUACUCUGAGCACGACUAAUAAAUUGCAUCUAUAAAAUUGUGUUUCAAAUGAAGGUGUCUUCGUACUGCGGUGGUAGACGACGGUGUUGUCAACAGAACCGAACAAUGUCGGCGAGGGUGGAGCGUGACGUCGCUACUUGUUGCCGGUCGUUAGCAGACAAAAUAUUGCACAAAUAAGCGAGUUGUGCAUGACGGCCAGAAAAUUGUGUUUCGAAUGAAGGUGUUGGUUGUGCUGCGCUGUGCCGCUGCGGUGGUAGACGACUGUGUUAUCUCCAGAACCGAACAAUGUCUGCAAGGGUAAAGCGUAUCAUCCAACGAUGAGGUUGAAGAAAUUGAAAAGACAAAUAAAGAAUUUGGAGACGUUACAAUUGAUGAAUUUAAUUCACCCAGAAAAUCCUUAGAUACUUAAUAAUGUCUAAUUCACAUACACUUAUUUCAUUCAGUGGAUUAUACUUAUAUUUUCCAAACUGAAAUAUACGAUGUACCACAUACAAGGAGCUAGGAAGUUCUAUUGAAGUGUAAAAUCAUGUUAACAUUAUGAACAUCUAAACUUUCAUAUAGAUACAAACUAAUAAGAUGUACACCUUAAUUAUUGAUACAGAAUUCCUCACUGGUGAUCUGAUUGUUGUGCAUAGGCGUUCCCCAGAUUUUACUUCAGAUGCAGCAUAGAUGGCUAAUUUCUAGAGAAGUAAAAUACAUUUUAGUAAUUCACAGACACAUUGGUACUACUCUGAGCACGACUAAUAAAUUAUAUCCAAGAGAAAAUUGUGUUUCUCCAACGAUGAGUUAGAAGAAAAUGAACAGACUAAUAAAGAAUUUGGUAUCGCCAACCGCAGCAAGGGGACUGUAGAUAUAUAUUUCCUGUAUUGUGGUG